UACGGCAGUCACUUGAAAUAUAAGCGGCAACAUGCACUUUGGCUACCGAUAACCGAAACCGCUCUUAAAUUAUUCACAGUUCUCUAGACCAAUGGGGAUUGUCCAAGUCCUGUUUCCGAAAUUAACUAUUUAUUUAAUGAGUUGAGAAGGUGCUAUAUAAUUCCGGUGUUCAUAGUUAUGGAGUUUCGUUUACUCGUUGUUUGUAGGAAAGAGGGAUUCGCCGCGAAACAUUCAAGUUUGACCUGCAAUAUUGACCUGAAACAAUGGGAUAUUUUGCCAGCAAGAAAAUUCUGCACUAUCUUAAAUAGGUAGGAUGAAAAAUCUGAAUUUUCUGGCAGACAAAUAUGAAGCAAGUGUUGCCUGCACUAUGAGUUUCUUUUUUACCACAAAAUAUUCUCAGCCGUUUCUUCCGUCGCCUGGUCCUUCUUUCAAAAUACCUUAAUUGGUGGCAAUAAAUGUUUUUGAUAAUUCUAAUUAAAUCGCAUCUUCCAUAUCCCGUCAUAUUCAGAACUAAAUCAUUUUUGGGUGGAAGAAAUCUUGAGCUUUUAAGAUUUGGUUUGUCUUGUAAUACAUUAAACAUUACAUACA
rnacentral:misc_RNA from 1 species